GUUUGAUCCUGGCUCAGAUUGAACGCUGGCGGCAUGCUUUACACAUGCAAGUCGAACGGCAGCACGGGUUCUUGCACCUGGUGGCGAGUGGCGGACGGGUGAGUAAUACAUCGGAACGUAUCCUAAAGUGGGGGAUAACGCAUCGAAAGAUGUGCUAAUACCGCAUACACUCUGAGGAGGAAAGUAGGGGAUCGAAAGACCUUAUGCUUUUGGAGCGGCCGAUGUCUGAUUAGCUAGUUGGUAAGGUAAUGGCUUACCAAGGCAACGAUCAGUAGUUGGUCUGAGAGGACGACCAGCCACACUGGGACUGAGACACGGCCCAGACUCCUACGGGAGGCAGCAGUGGGGAAUUUUGGACAAUGGGCGCAAGCCUGAUCCAGCAAUGCCGCGUGAGUGAAGAAGGCCUCGGUUGUAAG
rnacentral:rRNA from 1 species